ensembl:snRNA U4 U4 spliceosomal RNA
GGCUUUGUGCAAUAGCAGCAUCGUUGCCACUGAAAUUUAUCUGAGGCAUAAUUUUUGCUAAUUGAAAACAACAUGCCAGACACUAUGCUAAAUCCUAGGGAUAGAAGAGUGUGUGAUUUAGAUAUGAUUCAGUUCCUUUCGGAG